CUGCAGGGAUCCAAACCUGGAUUGCAGAAACAGGUUUAUGGACUGGACUGGACUGCACCAUUUUGGACUCCAGGGAAAUCAUGCAUGGAAGAUCUGGACCAAAGAGGUGCUGCUUUGGCAUGAGAAGCAACUGCACCAUCCAUUCGGUAUCCUGCUUCAAAUGUUCAGUGCAGCAUGAGACUUAAGCACAUCGGAGGAACAAGAAUGCUACAAAGCUGAACCCUGGAAAUGACCUUUUGUUUUUUCACAAGACAAAACAGAAAUGAGAAAGAGAGAUAUUACUGCACCCCGCAAGUGACACCUCCUUGACAGAUGAAGCAACAGGUCAUCAAUACAAAAAAAAAAUUAUUUGGAGCUUACUAAAAUUGUGAUUGAAAGAGCAUUUCAGCAAUGGAUGUAAUGACAUGUUGCUUUCAUGCUUAUUAAAAUCCUCUUAUGAAGCAGAGCAUCUAAGAGCAGAUUGUAAUUUCUUUGCUGAUAUUAUCUAGGGAUCACA